GUUAGAUGCUAAAAGGAUUAUUUACUAACGGGAGAAUUGUCAUGAAUUCAAAGUGAUUUCCAAAUUUGAGAUUAAAGUAGCCAUACUUGAAGCACAGCUGACUGGGAGAAUUUUCCAGUUUGUCUACUUUGGUGUUAAAUUUGAAAUUCACUUUGAAUUCCCUUUGUAAGUGGUACAAUCACCAGAAAAAUGCCAUCAUUUCCAGUGGUGAUUUCUCAUAUUUUAUCACUUUGAGCCCAAUGAAUAAACUAGGUUCAUGACAAAAUAGUUUAAGUGAUUAAAGGGACACUCCAGGCACCCAGACCACUUCUGCCCAUUGGAGUGGUCUGGGUGCCAACUCCCACUACUCUUAACCCUGUAAGUGUAAUAAUUGCAGUUUUUUAUAAACUGCAAUAAUUACCUUGCAGGGUUAACUCCAACUCUAGUGGCUGUCUACUUCCUGGUUCCUAGCACAGGAAACCUGUGCUAGAGCGUCGCUGGACGUCCUCACGCUGUGUGAGGACCUCCAGCAUCGCUCAUUUCCCC